CACGUAGGGGGCGAGCGUUGUCCGGAUUUAUUGGGCGUAAAGAGCUCGUAGGCGGCUCAGUAAGUCGGGUGUGAAAACUCCAGGCUCAACCUGGAGACGCCACCCGAUACUGCUGUGGCUAGAGUCCGGUAGGGGAGCAUGGGAAUUCCUGGUGUAGCGGUGAAAUGCGCAGAUAUCAGGAGGAACACCAGUGGCGAAGGCGGUGCUCUGGGCCGGAACUGACGCUGAGGAGCGAAAGCGUGGGAGCAAACAGG
rnacentral:rRNA from 1 species